AAAAAAAAGAAAAAAAAAAAAAAAAGGAGAAGCUCCUUGAUAUGUUUUCCCGUUGGUUAGUGUGUUUUCACCCGUUCCCUCGCGCCUGCGUCCCACGCUCUCACGCCCAGACACUCACAAACACUCUGUACCCACCCGCCUUCGUAGCCGUUCUCGCGCCCGACUCCGCCGCCACACUGCCGCUCCUGUCAUGGAACCUCACUUGCCCCACGGCCUGCAGCGCCCCACCUGCCCCACGGCCACAGCCUCUGUUCCUUCUCCCCACACAGGUUCCGCGCCCCCCCAUACAAUCGCUCAUGCCUUUUCGCGCCCUACCAGUCGCAUCUCUUCCUGUCCUUUCUGCCCAAACCGUGAUUGUUAUAAACUCCACACACAUUGACCCCCCACCAAUCUCCCUUUCUCUGCUGUCGCUUCCCAAUUUUGCUGCUCGAAUUUUUUCCUGCUUCCAUGUGCCGCCCGUAGCCUGCUCGAGGAAAUGCAUCUGACAGUCCUGCUGGUUCUCGAUAGCACAACUUCCUCUAUAGCCCAACACGUUCACGCUUCGGCUUUGCAUCAGAGGGGUUAGCUUUCGCCUCCAAAAGCACUUGGCCCUUUCAGUUGUGUGUAUACUUCCUGGCAUUAAUUAUGCAGCUCCUGCAUGUCCUCAGAUAGUGGAAAUGUGUCCAGAUAGAAGAAAGUAAUUGCAGGUGGCUCGACUUCGUGUUGCCUUCCGGGAAUAUGUUUCAAAAGGUUUCUUGGCAAGAAGAUUUUCAUUGUUGCAGCCGCAGAAACCGAAUCCAUCCCAUCCCUGUUAGCCAACCUUGUGUAUAGAUGUUGACGAUUGCGAUCUUUUAGCUGUCCUUGUGGUCUGUAUGUUAUAGCUUCAGUUUGUUGGAGCCGGUCACUGACCAGGGGAACUUUGUAUCAUCCAUACUCAAUAGCAAGGCAUGGCUGAAACUAAUUUGGAUGA